AUACUUACCUGGCAGGGGAGAUACCAUGAUCACGAAGGUGGUUUUCCCAGGGCGAGGCUCAUCCAUUGCCCUGCGGGUGUGCUGACCCUUGCGAUUUCCCCAAAUGCGGGAAACUCGACUGCAUAAUUUGUGGUAGUGGGGGACUGCGUUUGCGCUCUCCCCUG
rnacentral:snRNA from 1 species